GCAGCAACGAAAACUAUGAACAGUGUUAUUGCUGAGUUGUAGUCAUUGCUCUUGAUACUGAGCCGUUGGAGAUUCUUCUCCAUCUUCCUUUAUUGGUUGAAGAUAAGCCAUACCUUUUUAUCCAAGUCACACUGUUGUGAUACAAACUCAGUGAUUUGUUCGAGUUCUGAUGGUGUUUGUAUUAUGUUCCUGGGAGUAAUUUGAACAUCUCACAAAGGGUACAUUGGUGGUACAAGACUGAUAGUCAUGCAGGUGAACUAACAGCAGGGUUCUACAACCCAUGUAAUUGUGAUGGUCAUGCUGCAAUGAUGUCCAUGUUGAAGAAACAAGGAGCUGCUUUGACCUUCGCACCUGCAGGAGUGGACUUGUUGGAUCAUCUUGUGGAUUCUUCUGAACCCUUAUUGUUCUUGGAGGACUGGCUUGGCAAAAUGGGACUCGUCAUAACUUGGAAUGGAGCAGCCAAUAACAAAAAUAGUACCUGAGAAACAACGAACAAAAUCGUUCAUUCGAGAAUAUGCAUUGGAUCGUUUUGUUGGUCGUUUCGAAGGUAAUGAUAUUCUGGGUGUUGGUCGUGUAGGGGGUGUGCCAUGGGUUUUUUAAAAUUCCAAAUAGUUCGUGGGAGUUAUAUACUCUAACUU